UGUGCACCAGACUGGAACUGUUCAUACAAAUUCUAAGCAAUUAUAAGGCUUUCUGGGAAACAUUGGCAGCAAACUCUGGAUUAAAUGUUUAUAACAGCAAGCCAGAUGGGAAACAGAGAUAAGAAAAAUCUCAUGGAAACUUAUUUUUUUUUUCCCAGACCACAUUAUUUUAAAUUAACCUGGCCAAGGGGAAGCACUUUCACAUUGUUGACCAGUAAAGAGUUUUUGGUUGUUUAGAGGAUGCAGAACACAUGAAUGUAAAUAUGGGAAAAACAGACACUGUGGACUACUAGAGAAUGGAAGGAGAGAAGGUAGGUUAAAAAACUACCUAUUGGAUACUAUGUUCACUACCAGGGUGACAAGAUCCAUACUGCAAACCUCAGCAUCACACAAUAUUUCCAUGUAACAAAUAUGUACAUAUACCCUCUAAAAUAUUUUUUUUCCAUUUGAUAAGUGGAGUAAAAAUUAUUCCAAGCAAUCAAGUAAUUUGCCCAUGGUCAUGUAGUAUAUGGGAAAGCAAGGAUAGCAAACAAAUUGUGUCUAUUGACAAGAACCGUUCUUUCCCCAUCAUCUCCCACAGUCUUUAUCCUUCCAAUGCAUAGUGACUGCCUCUCUAGGUUGAUGAGAUAUACAUUCUACUUUAUUAUAUGCUCAUUAUUAUCCAUUAAAUGCCUUCUAUAUGCAAAACCUUUAGUUAAGUGCCAGAAAUCCCAGAGAAAUGGAAAAUCAUAAAAUAAAAUGGAACAAUAUUAUAAGGUUGUACAUGCUAAGCAUCUAAUAUAUGCUACAUAAUUCUUCAUAUGUGAACAUCCAGGUAGGUGGCUUUGAAGGGAGUAUGGUACCUAUAAAGUAAAGAGGUAUUGGUGAAGGUAACUCAGAAAAGGAGGAGGAAUGAUGAGCAGUGCCUGGUUCUAUUCAGAGAUAUGGCUUUAUUUGAUAUAUUACAUGAUACUUCCAACAAAGCAUCUCAAAAACUCUUGGAAAUUAUCUAGUACAAAUCUCUACCAUUUACACCAGAGAUAGAUAUAUUAUCUAUACCAUUUACACCCCUGCCAACCUAACUCACAUGCCCAGGGUCACCCAUCUAACCACUGAGCCAAGGUUUUUAGUCAUGUUUUCUCAGCACAGUCUUGGCAAAACUAUUAAUACCAGGACCAACCAUGAUGAUAUUAUUUGAAGCUGAUGGCUGUUCUUUAAUGCCAUCCCUAGAUUAAUUCAGACCUUAAGAUUACUUCUGUUACUUACUAUGCUAUGGCUGAUAUUUUUCAGAUUUUAGUCCAGGGUUGAAAACUCUAAUCCUUAUUCAUUUCUGUUUUGUUGUUUUCAUUACCCCUUUUGUAUUAUUGAGACAUCCUAGAGAUAGUAAUUGCAC
rnacentral:lncRNA from 1 species